CCAGCCCUGCUGGCUUGGUUUACACCUGAGCCAAUUAGCUCCGGAGAUCAGAAGAGGCCUGAAAACGGAGCCGGGCCCUUAUUCCCGGGAUGGAGAAAGUCACUUGAUCCCAGGUGACACACAACUCCCAGCUGAUGGAAGGCACCCCCAGGCAGAGGAGGGAGGGCAGGCUGUCACUCAGAAAAGCACCGUUUAGUGAAGACUAGUUCCUUAGGAGACAGACGUUCUUGGCUGGACUCCAUUUUUAUAACGGUAUUUCCCCCACUGGGGAGAAGAUCCUCAACUUUUUACCUCAGAAA